CAAUAGCGUAUAUUAAAGUUGUUGCAGUUAAAAAGCUCGUAGUUGGAUUUCUGGUGGGAGCGAUCGGUCUGGCGCUUAGCGCGAGUACUUGCAUCGUCUCCGGCCAUCCUUGGGGAGAGUCUGUCUGGCAUUAGGUUGUCGGGCAGAGGAUCUUCAUCGUUUACUGUGAAAAAAUUAGAGUGUUCAAAGCAGGCUUAUGCCGUUGAAUAUAUUAGCAUGGAAUAAUAAGAUAGGACUUUGGUACUAUUUUGUUGGUUUGCGCACCAAAGUAAUGAUUAAUAGGGACAGUUGGGGGUAUUCGUAUUCCGUUGUCAGAGGUGAAAUUCUUGGAUUUACGGAAGACGAACUACUGCGAAAGCAUUUACCAAGGAUGUUUUCAUUAA
rnacentral:rRNA from 1 species